rnacentral:rRNA from 1 species
CUCCUACGGGAGGCAGCAGUGGGGAAUUUUGGACAAUGGGGGCAACCCUGAUCCAGCCAUUCCGCGUGAGUGAAGAAGGCCUUCGGGUUGUAAAGCUCUUUCAGCUGGAAAGAAACGGUAGAGGUGAAUACCCUUUGCUAAUGACGGUACCAGCAGAAGAAGCACCGGCUAACUACGUGCCAGCAGCCGCGGUAAUACGUAGGGUGCGAGCGUUAAUCGGAAUUACUGGGCGUAAAGCGUGCGCAGGCGGAUUGUUAAGCAAGAUGUGAAAUCCCCGGGCUUAACCUGGGAAUGGCAUUUUGAACUGGCAGUCUAGAGUGUGUCAGAGGGGGGUGGAAUUCCACGUGUAGCAGUGAAAUGCGUAGAUAUGUGGAGGAACACCAAUGGCGAAGGCAGCCCCCUGGGAUAACACUGACGCUCAUGUACGAAAGCGUGGGUAGCAAACAGGAUUAGAUACCCUGGUAGUCCACGCCCUAAACGAUGUCAACUGGUUGUUGGGGGAGUGAAAUCCCUUAGUAACGAAGCUAACGCGUGAAGUUGACCGCCUGGGGAGUACGGUCGCAAGAUUAAAACUCAAAGGAAUUGACGG